rnacentral:rRNA from 1 species
GUCUACAGCCAUGCCACCCUGAACAAGCCUGAUCCCAUCUGAUCUCAGAAGCUAAGCAGGGUCGGGCCUGGUUAGUACUUGGAUGGGAGACCACCUAGGAAGACCAGGUGCUGUAGGUG